rnacentral:rRNA from 1 species
UAGGGAAUCUUCCGCAAUGGACGCAAGUCUGACGGAGCAACGCCGCGUGAGUGAAGAAGGAUUUCGGUUCGUAAAACUCUGUUGUUAGAGAAGAACAGCGCAUAGAGUAACUGUUAUGCGUGUGACGGUAUCUAACCAGAAAGCCACGGCUAACUACGUGCCAGCAGCCGCGGUAAUACGUAGGGGGCGAGCGUUGUCCGGAAUUACUGGGCGUAAAGGGUUCGCAGGCGGCAUGACAAGUCCGAUGUAAAAGGCGAAAGCUCAACUUUCGUAAGCAUCGGAAACUGUCAAGCUUGAGUGAAGGAGAGGCAAGUGGAAUUCCUAGUGUAGCGGUGGAAUGCGUAGAUAUUAGGAGGAAUACCGGUGGCGAAGGCGACUUGCUGGACUUCAACUGACGCUGAGGAACGAAAGCGUGGGUAGCAAACAGG